GAUGAACGCUGGCGGCGCGCCUAACACAUGCAAGUCGAACGAUUAAAGCACCUUCGGGUGUGUAUAAAGUGGCGAACGGCUGAGUAACACGUGGGCAACCUGCCCCUUUCAUUGGGAUAGCCACGGGAAACCGUGGAUAAUACCGAAUACUUCGAGACUUCCGCAUGGAAGACUCGAGAAAGCUCCGGCGGAGAGGGAUGGGCCCGCGGCCUGUUAGCUUGUUGGUGGGGUAACGGCCUACCAAGGCAAUGAUGGGUAGCUGGGUUGAGAGACCGACCAGCCAGAUUGGGACUGAGACACGGCCCAGACUCCUACGGGAGGCAGCAGUGGGGAAUCUUGCACAAGGGGCGAAAGCCUGAUGCAGCGACGCCGCGUGCGGGAUGAAGGCCUUCGGGUUGUAAACCGCUUUCAGCAGGGACGAGGCGAAAGUGACGGUACCUGCAGAAGAAGCCCCGGCUAACUACGUG
rnacentral:rRNA from 1 species